UUUUAAAAAUUUAAUUCAUUUGUACUGUUAAAAAUUGGUGUGGCUAACUUUAUAACUAUAAUUAUACAUGGUGUGUCACAUGUAUAUCAUGCUAUAUACACGCUAACAUACAAGGACCGGUUUUUAAAAGUAGAAAUGGAUGCAAUUUUUAACA
rnacentral:pre_miRNA from 1 species